rnacentral:rRNA from 1 species
GACGAACGCUGGCGGCGUGCUUAACACAUGCAAGUCGAACGAAGUGGCGAACGUGUGAGUAACGCGUAAUCAACCUGCCCUUCAGAGGGGGACAACAGUUGGAAACGACUGCUAAUACCGCAUACUGACGUAGGGGAUUGCGUCUGAUUCGCUAGGUGGAGGGGUAACGGCCCACCAAGGCGAUGAUCAGUAGCCGGUGUGAGAGGAUGGACGGCCACAUUGGGACUGAGAAACGGCCCAGACGCCUACGGGAGGCAGCAGUGGGGAAACUUCCGAAAUGGACGAAAGGCUGACGGAGCAACGCCGCGUGAGUGAUGACGGCCUUCGGGUUGUAAAGCUCUGUUAAUCGGGACGCGGUACCGGAAGAGAAAGCCACGGCUAACUACGUGCCAGCAGCCGCGGUAAUAC